CUCCAGAGGAAAUUGUCCAUUUGGACAACUACAGUCAAAACAGAGUAUAAGAGAGCACUCAGAAAGAAAGAGGCUCUGGAGGAAAACGCUUACCAUCAAAUUCUUGCCCUUUCUGUGAAGUUUCAGGGCCUCUGAAGAACUCAGCUUUGGAAACACGGCGUAACCAAGACCUUGUGAGGAGCGGCUGGGCAUUUGUGCUCGAAGGUGAGACUCGUUCUGGAGAUGCUCCAGGUCACCACGUUGCUCUGGUGCAACUAUGUCCAAGGCAGAAGCCAUGUGCUGUGCCAGCCCUGCAAAAACCAAGCUGUGGGUGUAGGCACGUUGCCACAAACUCACAGCAGCACCUUGGUGACAUCUUAACCUGGUUCCUGUGCCUCUGGGACGGGACAGCAUGAACACGGCCAGCCGGACGUGGGUCGUGGUCAUGUCCCCCUGCCUGGCGCUCAUCCGGCUGCACCCAGGGGGCUGGCUGGAGCACCGGGCGCGCAAGGAGAAAGAGAUCAUCACACCGAAGGCUCAGCGCUAGUGACUGAAGGGCAGCAGUGGUGGGAGAGCUGCUGCGCUAAUGCCAUUGCUUGGGAAAACUCUGCGGACACUGCUGCAGAGUCUUGAAAAGUGCUCUGCGGAAGUUAUUCAGAGUUGAAGAUAUAUCUCCGUGUAAUUAAAACAAGAGAUCACUUUGAGACAGCUGCAUAGUCUACCUUCAAGUGUGCCCCACACAGCAGUGGAGAGGGUAAGGAUUAAGCUCCUUCUUUGCUAUACCGAAGUUAUCAUGAGGCUUCUGCAGAUCAAACUGAAGGCAUUUGCUUUCGUGUAAUGUAUUUUUUCUUCCUCUAGGAUGAGCGUAUCCACAUGAU